rnacentral:rRNA from 1 species
AUGGAAAAGAAGGUGGACACCUGGAAACUAUUGAGGACACUAAAUCACCAGGCGAGCCCCCCGUGGGUCGUGCUCGGUGAUUUCAACGAGAUCUUGUUCAACCAUGAGAAAUAAGCAGGCGUACCUAGAGGGCACUUGAUGAUGCAUAAUUUCCAUGAUGCUUUGGAAAGUUGUAAUCUAAAUGACAUCGGCUUCGAGGGGGAUGUGUUUACCUGGCGCAAUAAUAACUUUCAUGAGCGUCUAGACAGGGCGGUGGCUUCCCAAGCUUGAUGCGCUCGCUUCCCAUACUAUAAAGUGGUCAACGGGGACCCGCAUCAUUCGGAUCACAAGCCGGUCAUCUUGUGGCUAAACGGCAGUAGGGGUCCAGGGGCCAGGCUGAGCAACAGGCAACACAAGAGGAUCGAGGCGCGCUGGCUCCUUGAGGAGGGGUGCGAUGACAUAGUGAGUGAGGUGUGGGAGAAAGCGCAAGGGCCGUCGGUGGCGAGCAGGCUGGGGGUAGUCAACAGAGCCCUCCAUACAUGGAGCCGUGAUGUUCUGGGUGAUCUCCAAAAGAGGGCUCGCAAGCUAAAGGAGGAACUUGAAGCAGUCCGUCGCCAACCAAUAUCCCAAGCACAACUCCGGAGGGAGCUUACCUUGAAGUACAAAAUGGAGAAACUGGAGGAUCAACUUGACCUGGUGUAUCGCCAACGAGCACAUGUGGAUUGGUUGUCGAAAGGUGACUGGAACACGAAAUAUUUCCAGGCCUUUGCAUCAGAGAGGAAGAAGAAAAACUGGAUCCAUACUUUGAAGAGGGAGACGGGGUGGAGGUGUCGGGGGAGGAGGGGUUGA